rnacentral:lncRNA from 1 species
AAGAAUCCAGUAGCGGCGGGAUCUUGCUCGUCGAGGAAGAGAUCGUCGGGAACUCUAAAUGCGCCGUGAGCGCAAACGAUGGCCGCACCGACCAUGAGAGCGGAGAUGAGAACGGAUCCGACGCUGGUGAGGAAAAUGACGACGACGCUGAGGACAACGAGGAUGCCAAGGGUCUCGCGGUCGGAGAAAGUGCGGCCGAAGAGGACGAGAGGAGGAUCGGAGGGGCGGAAGAGGUAGAGGAAGAGCCAGGCGGCGAGGAGAGAAAGGAGGAGGAGGAGAGAGAAAGGGUUGGUGAGGAGAGAGAAGGCAAGGGUAAGGGCGAUGAGGGAGAGGUAGUUGACGCGGAAGUAGGUGUAGUUCUUGCGUACGCGAAGGGCGGCCUCGGAGAAGGACUCGGGGCGGGAGAAAGCGUUGCGGUCGACGAGCUCGGACCAGGGGCGGCGCUGAGCGAAGCCGUUGCGGACGGAAUCGGUGAUGUGGGUGAUAAAUAAGCGGACAGCGGGUGUGGCGACCGGAGGCUGCGAUUGAACGGAUGUGGCGGUGGUUUCUGGGUUGGAAAUGG